CUACGGGAGGCAGCAGUGGGGAAUUUUGCGCAAUGGGCGAAAGCCUGACGCAGCAACGCCGCGUGAGUGAUGAAGGCUUUCGGGUCGUAAAGCUCUGUCAAGGGGAAAGAAGUGUAUUGUGGUUAAUACCCAUGAUACUUGACGGUACCCCUAAAGGAAGCACCGGCUAACUCCGUGCCAGCAGCCGCGGUAAUACGGAGGGUGCGAGCGUUGUUCGGAAUUAUUGGGCGUAAAGCGCGUGUAGGCGGUUUGAUAAGUCUGAUGUGAAAGCCCCGGGCUCAACCUGGGAAGUGCAUUGGAAACUGUCAGACUUGAAUACGGGAGAGGGUAGUGGAAUUCCUGGUGUAGGAGUGAAAUCCGUAGAUAUCAGGAGGAACACCGGUGGCGAAGGCGGCUGCCUGGACCGAUAUUGACGCUGAGACGCGAAAGCGUGGGUAGCAAACAGGAUUAGAUACCCCGGU
rnacentral:rRNA from 1 species